AACGAACGUUGGCGGCGUGGAUUAGGCAUGCAAGUCGAACGCGAAUCCCUGGGCAACUGGGGAGGAGAGUGGCGAAAGGGGCAGUAAGGCGUGGGUAACCUACCCUCCGGGCCGGGAUAGCUUCGGGAAACUGAAGGUAAUACCGGGCGACGCAGCGAGAUCGCAUGGUCUUGCUGCCAAAGGUCCGCCGCCGGGGGAGGGGCUCACGUGGUAUUAGCUAGACGGCGGGGUAACGGCCCACCGUGGCAAAGAUGCCUAGCAGGUGUGAGAGCACGACCUGCGCCACUGGCACUGAGAGACUGGCCAGACACCUACGGGUGGCUGCAGUCGAGGAUCUUCGGCAAUGGGCGCAAGCCUGACCGAGCGACGCCGCGUGUGCGAUGAAGGCCUUCGGGUUGUAAAGCACUGUCGAGGGGGAGGAAGCCGCAAGGUUGACCUAGCCCUGGAGGAAGCACGGGCUAAGUUCGUG
rnacentral:rRNA from 1 species